UACGAAGGGGGCUAGCGUUGUUCGGAUUUACUGGGCGUAAAGCGCACGUAGGCGGAUUGUUAAGUCGGGGGUGAAAUCCCAGGGCUCAACCCUGGAACUGCCUUCGAUACUGGCAAUCUUGAGUCCGGAAGAGGUGAGUGGAACUCCUAGUGUAGAGGUGGAAUUCGUAGAUAUUAGGAAGAACACCAGUGGCGAAGGCGGCUCACUGGUCCGGUACUGACGCUGAGGGUGCGAAAAGCGUGG
rnacentral:rRNA from 1 species